rnacentral:misc_RNA from 1 species
UCUCCGUAGGUGAACCUGCGGAGGGAUCAUUACUGAGUGAGGGCUCCGGCCCGACCUCCAACCCCAUGUGAACCGAAACCUGUUGCUUCGGGGGCGACCCUGCCUUUCGGCGCGGCGCCCCCGGAGGACUUCCAACCCUGCAUCAUUGCGUCGGAGUAUUUUUUGUAAAUCUAAACAAAACUUUCAACAACGGAUCUCUUGGUUCUGGCAUCGAUGAAGAACGCAGC